rnacentral:rRNA from 1 species
UACAGAGGGUGCAAACGUUGUUCGGAAUUACUGGGCGUAAAGCGCGUGUAGGCGGCCAUCUAAGUCGGGCGUGAAAUCCCACGGCUCAACCGUGGAAGUGCACUCGAAACUGGAUGGCUAGAGUCCUGGAGAGGAAGGUGGAAUGCUUGGUGUAGAGGUGAAAUUCGUAGAUAUCAAGCGGAACACCGGUGGCGAAGGCGGCUCACUGGCUCGUAACUGACGCUCAGGCGCGACAGCGUGGGGAGUCAAACAGG